GAUGAAGAACGUAGCGAAAUGCGAUAAGUAAUGUGAUUUGCAAAUUCAGUGAAUCAUCGAGUCUUUGAACGCACAUUGCGCCCCCUGGUAUUCCGGGGGGCAUGCCUGUCCGAGCGUCAUUGCUGCCCUCAAGCACGGCUUGUGUGUUGGGCCCCGUCCUCCGAUCCCGGGGGACGGGCCCGAAAGGCAGCGGCGGCACCGCGUCCGGUCCUCGAGCGUAUGGGGCUUUGUCACCCGCUCUGUAGGCCCGGCCGGCGCUUGCCGAUCAACCCAAAUUUUUAUCCAGGUUGACCUCGGAUCAGGUAGGGAUACCCGCUGAACUUAAGCAUAUCAAUAAGCGGAGGA
rnacentral:misc_RNA from 1 species